rnacentral:piRNA from 1 species
AGACAUAGGAAGAAAGAUGCCAACGU